rnacentral:ncRNA from 1 species
UGUGAUGGACCCUGCUCUGUAGUGCACUUACAACAGGUGAACAGUAAACUAUGUUCAAUAAAA